GGGUUGUGAGGUUAAGCGACUAAGCGUACACGGUGGAUGCCCUGGCAGUCAGAGGCGAUGAAGGACGUGCUAAUCUGCGAAAAGCGUCGGUAAGGUGAUAUGAACCGUUACAGCCGGCGAUGUCCGAAUGGGGAAACCCAGUGCAAUUCGUUGCACUAUCGUUAACUGAAUACAUAGGUUAACGAGGCGAACCGGGGGAACUGAAACAUCUAAGUACCCCGAGGAAAAGAAAUCAACCGAGAUUCCCCCAGUAGCGGCGAGCGAACGGGGAGCAGCCCAGAGUCUGAAUCAGCUUGUGUGUUAGUGGAACGGUCUGGAAAGUCCGACGGUACAGGGUGAUAGUCCCGUACACCAAAAUGCACAGGCUGUGAACUCGAAGAGUAGGGCGGGACACGUGGUAUCCUGUCUGAAUAUGGGGGGACCAUCCUCCAAGGCUAAAUACUCCUGACUGACCGAUAGUGAACCAGUACCGUGAGGGAAAGGCGAAAAGAACCCCGGCGAGGGGAGUGAAAAAGAACCUGAAACCGUGUACGUACAAGCAGUGGGAGCACCUUCGGGUGUGACUGCGUACCUUUUGUAUAAUGGGUCAGCGACUUAUAUUCUGUAGCAAGGUUAACCGUAGGGGAGCCGCAGGGAAACCGAGUCUUAACUGGGCGUUAAGUUGCAGGGUAUAGACCCGAAACCCGGUGAUCUAGCCAUGGGCAGGUUGAAGGUUGGGUAACACUAACUGGAGGACCGAACCGACUAAUGUUGAAAAAUUAGCGGAUGACUUGUGGCUGGGGGUGAAAGGCCAAUCAAACCGGGAGAUAGCUGGUUCUCCCCGAAAGCUAUUUAGGUAGCGCCUCGUGAAUUCAUCUUCGGGGGUAGAGCACUGUUUCGGCUAGGGGGGUCAUCCCGACUUACCAACCCGAUGCAAACUACGAAUACCGAAGAAUGUUAUCACGGGAGACACACGGCGGGUGCUAACGUCCGUCGUGAAGAGGGAAACAACCCAGACCGCCAGCUAAGGUCCCAAAGUCAUGGUUAAGUGGGAAACGAUGUGGGAAGGCACAGACAGCCAGGAUGUUGGCUUAGAAGCAGCCAUCAUUUAAAGAAAGCGUAAUAGCUCACUGGUCGAGUCGGCCUGCGCGGAAGAUGUAACGGGGCUAAACCAUGCACCGAAGCUGCGGCAGCGACACUAUGUGUUGUUGGGUAGGGGAGCGUUCUGUAAGCCUGCGAAGGUGUGCUGUGAGGCAUGCUGGAGGUAUCAGAAGUGCGAAUGCUGACAUAAGUAACGAUAAAGCGGGUGAAAAGCCCGCUCGCCGGAAGACCAAGGGUUCCUGUCCAACGUUAAUCGGGGCAGGGUGAGUCGACCCCUAAGGCGAGGCCGAAAGGCGUAGUCGAUGGGAAACAGGUUAAUAUUCCUGUACUUGGUGUUACUGCGAAGGGGACGGAGAAGGCUAUGUUAGCCGGGCGACGGUUGUCCCGGUUUAAGCAUGUAGGCUGGUUAUCGUGCAAAUCCGGAUAAUCAAGGCUGAGGUGUGAUGACGAGGCACUACGGUGCUGAAGUAACAAAUGCCCUGCUUCCAGGAAAAGCCUCUAAGCAUCAGGUAACAUCAAAUCGUACCCCAAACCGACACAGGUGGUCAGGUAGAGAAUACCAAGGCGCUUGAGAGAACUCGGGUGAAGGAACUAGGCAAAAUGGUGCCGUAACUUCGGGAGAAGGCACGCUGGUGUGUAGGUGAAGUCCCUGCGGAUGGAGCUGAGACCAGUCGAAGAUACCAGCUGGCUGCAACUGUUUAUUAAAAACACAGCACUGUGCAAACACGAAAGUGGACGUAUACGGUGUGACGCCUGCCCGGUGCCGGAAGGUUAAUUGAUGGGGUUAUCCGUAAGGAGAAGCUCUUGAUCGAAGCCCGGUAAACGGCGGCCGUAACUAUAACGGUCCUAAGGUAGCGAAAUUCCUUGUCGGGUAAGUUCCGACCUGCACGAAUGGCGUAAUGAUGGCGGGCUGUCUCCACCCGAGACUCAGUGAAAUUGAACUCGCUGUGAAGAUGCAGUGUACCCGCGGCAAGACGGAAAGACCCCGUGAACCUUUACUAUAGCUUGACACUGAACAUUGAGCCUUGAUGUGUAGGAUAGGUGGGAGGCUUUGAAGCGUGGACGCCAGUCUGCGUGGAGCCAACCUUGAAAUACCACCCUUUAAUGUUUGAUGUUCUAACGUUGGCCCCUGACCGGGGUUGCGGACAGUGUCUGGUGGGUAGUUUGACUGGGGCGGUCUCCUCCCAAAGCGUAACGGAGGAGCACGAAGGUUAGCUAAUCCUGGUCGGACAUCAGGAGGUUAGUGCAAUGGCAUAAGCUAGCUUGACUGCGAGCGUGACGGCGCGAGCAGGUGCGAAAGCAGGUCAUAGUGAUCCGGUGGUUCUGAAUGGAAGGGCCAUCGCUCAACGGAUAAAAGGUACUCCGGGGAUAACAGGCUGAUACCGCCCAAGAGUUCAUAUCGACGGCGGUGUUUGGCACCUCGAUGUCGGCUCAUCAUCAUCCCGGGCUGAAGUAGGUCCCAAGGGUAUGGCUGUUCGCCAUUUAAAGUGGUACGCGAGCUGGGUUUAGAACGUCGUGAGACAGUUCGGUCCCUAUCUGCCGUGGGCGCUGGAGAAUUGAGGGGGCUGCUCCUAGUACGAGAGGACCGGGUGGACGCAUCACUGGUGUUCGGGUUGUCAUGCCAAUGGCACUGCCCGGUAGCUAAAUGCGGAAGAGAUAAGUGCUGAAAGCAUCUAAGCACGAAACUUGCCCCGAGAUGAGUUCUCCCUGAGACUUUAAGUCUCCUGAAGGAACGUUGAAGACGACGACGUUGAUAGGCCGGGUGUGUAAGCGCAGCGAUGCGUUGAGCUAACCGGUACUAAUGAACCGUGAGGCUUAACCUUACAACGCCGAAG
rnacentral:rRNA from 1 species